rnacentral:rRNA from 1 species
CCUACGGGGUGCAGCAGUGAGGAAUAUUGGUCAAUGGGCGCGAGCCUGAACCAGCCAAGUAGCGUGAAGGAUGACUGCCCUACGGGUUGUAAACCUCUUUUAUAAAGGAAUAAAGUGAGGCACGUGUGCCUUUUUGUAUGUACUUUAUGAAUAAGGAUCGGCUAACUCCGUGCCAGCAGCCGCGGUGAUACGGAGGAUCCGCGCGUUAUCCGGAUUUAUUGGGGUUAAAGGGAGCGUAGAUGGGUUGUUAAGUCAGUUGUGAAAGUUUGCGGAUCAACCGUAAAAUUGCAAGUGAAACUGGAAGUCUUGAGGACAGUUGAGGUAGGCGGAAUUCGUGGUGUAGCGGUGAAAUGCUUAGAUAGCACGAAGAACUCCGAUUGCGAAGGCAGCUUACUAAACUGCCACUGACAUUGAUGCUCGAAAGUGUGGGUAUCAAACAGGAUUAGAUACCCUGGUAGUC